rnacentral:rRNA from 1 species
GUAGUCUGCAACUCGAGUACAUGAAGCUGGAAUCGCUAGUAAUCGCAAAUCAGAAUGUUGCGGUGAGUACGUUCCCGGGCCUUGUACACACCGCCCGUCACACCAUGGAGUUGGAAGCACCCGAAGUCGAUGACCUAACCGCGAGGGAGGAGUCGCCGAAGGUGAAGCCAGUGACUGGGGUGAAGUCGUAACAAGGUACC